GAGAAAUGGCAGAGUGGUCGAAUGCGGCGGUCUUGAAAACCGUUGUACCGCAAGGUACCGGGGGUUCGAAUCCCUCUUUCUCC
rnacentral:tRNA from 1 species